rnacentral:rRNA from 1 species
CACGUAGGGCGCGAGCGUUGUCCGGAAUUAUUGGGCGUAAAGAGCUCGUAGGCGGCCACUUAAGUCCUGCGUGAAAUCCUGCGGCUCAACCGCAGACGGUCGUGGGAAACUGGAUGGCUAGAGUGCGGGAGAGGAGAGGUGGAAUUCCCGGUGUAGCGGUGAAAUGCGCAGAUAUCGGGAAGAACACCCGUGGCGAAGGCGGCUCUCUGGAACGCAACUGACGCUGAGACGCGGAAAAAGCGU